GUUUACCACGUCAAAACUAGUAAAAAAUUAAUUUACCGAGAUAAAAUUCAUCAUUUUACAGUCUUAACUUUUUUUCCAUAUACAAAAUGGAUUUUUUGGCGCCUAAAUGGGUCCUUUUUUAACUCUAAUUUUAUUUUUGGUUGUAUAUAUAUAAUUAAAAAAAAUUGAUUUGUGGUUUUCUGCACAGCACUAGGUGCAAGUGCACGUACUGACUAUAUAGCUAGUGCAAUUGACAGGAAAAAAUAAAAAUAAAAGGAGAGCCGAUUGACCCUGGAAAAAAUGUUUACUAACUGACCAUUCUAAAAAAACAAAACAGAAGAAGAAAUCGUGAUUGAUAGCCUGUCAUCCCCUCAAUCUGACUGUCAAAUACCAAUUCUCCGAAUUCAAUCCUCCCUCUCACCGACGACAUAAUAGCCCAGCCACUCACUGCCAAUCAUUUCCACCUUCAACGAUGCCGAUAGCAGCCCAACAAUUCCCUAUCAUUAAGCUCCCUCUCUCCUUGAAAACACCGAACAGGAGCUCCUCCACACGACAAAACCGCCGUGAACUAUCAAUAUUAACAGCUCAAAAGAAACCGAGAGCUCCUUCUCAGGAGAAGACCAGCCAUCUCCCCACCAUGAUCCAUCAACGAUAGUAGCUCAGAAGAAAUUGAGAGCCUCCUCAAAACCUGAAGUUCCCUCUCUUCUCAACACCAUCACCACCGACACCGAGCUUCUCCACGCCUCUCGACAAGCACCACAGUAAGGGCAGACGACAUUGAACACUUGCAAAGAGAGAGAGUGAAGGGUAAACCAAGAGAGAAGAGGUUGAAACUUUAAGUAGCUGGGUCUCUCUCCACUGGCGUCGGUUUGCUUCAUCGCCACUAGAGUCUGACGAGGAAAGGGAGGUGCACUUUAUCUGCUAGGUGGUGGGGCCCAUCGACAUCAACGUGUCACCUUCACAUGCUGGUAGUGGCGGUGGUGUGUACCAAAUAUGCACCACUGUUUCAAAAAGCUUCCAGCACUAUUCCCUCUGUUCCAACAGCUCCUUUACCCGGUUCCAGC
rnacentral:lncRNA from 1 species